AUUGAACGCUGGCGGAAUGCUUUACACAUGCAAGUCGAACGGCAGCACGGACUUCGGUCUGGUGGCGAGUGGCGAACGGGUGAGUAAUGUAUCGGAACGUGCCCAGUCGUGGGGGAUAACGUAGUGAAAAUUACGCUAAUACCGCAUACGAUCUAUGGAUGAAAGCGGGGGAUCGCAAGACCUCGCGCGAUUGGAGCGGCCGAUAUCAGAUUAGGUAGUUGGUGGGGUAAAGGCCCACCAAGCCAACGAUCUGUAGCUGGUCUGAGAGGACGACCAGCCACACUGGAACUGAGACACGGUCCAGACUCCUACGGGAGGCAGCAGAGGGGAAUUUUGGACAAUGGGCGAAAGCCUGAUCCAGCCAUUCCGCGUGCAGGAUGAAGGCCCUCGGGUUGUAAACUGCUUUUGUACAGAACGAAAAGGUUUCUACUAAUACUAGGAGCUCAUGACGGCACUGUAAGAAUAAGCACCGGCUAACUACGUGCCAGCAGCCGCAGUAA
rnacentral:rRNA from 1 species